rnacentral:lncRNA from 1 species
GAUUUGAAGCACUGAUUAUGUGUUUACAGAAAAGAAAAAGAAGAAAAGAAGAGCCAGGAGGAUAGGUUGUUCAGUUUACUACUGGAGACCUGACUGUGACAGACCACCAAGAAAACAAAAUUUUCAAAGAGAGCAAAGAAGACCUUCUGCAGCAUCUGCGAGUCUCUCCUUUUUUCUUCAGUUACGUAGGAUAACUUAGCCAGAACUUAUUGAUGACUGCAUGUUCAGUGGACUCGGGAAUGGACUGGGAGAUGCGGGAAGGCACUCUUUGGAAGGAACAGAAGAGGAGGCAUUUCAAAGAUCCUGCAGGUGACUGAGCUACAGAACAUACUGGCAUUAGAGGUGGGUCGUCCAACAGCUCCCUUUUUGGACCGUUGCCAAUCCUGCUUCAUGGAUCAGCCAACAACUGCCUCCUGAACUGUGCUUGCACCUGUUUCCUCUUCUUCUGGAAUAAACAGUUUUGUCUGAAAAGAGCACUGACAAAGGCCAAAGUUGCACACCUAGCCUGGCCCACUGAUAUAAAGGAAAUCACAUUUUCUUGAUGCUUGUAGAAUGAAAGUGGCAGCUGUUACCAUGGAAAUAGUCACUUUAUGAAAGAAGUUUUGAGGAGGCUGAACAUCACCACUAAUCUCAAGUCAACAGCGUCACUGCUUCUAAAGCCUGGAUUUGUACAGGGUACACCACAGCGCUACAGUUACCGUAUAGCUCUGCAAGAGACUGUUAACGACAGGCCAGCUCUGCAGACCAACACUUCAGACCAAACGGGUUUGCCAGUGGUUCC